UACGGAGGGUGCGAGCGUUGUUCGGAAUCACUGGGCGUAAAGCGCGUGUAGGCGGCCUGCUAAGUCUGAUGUGAAAGCCCGAGGCUCAACCUCGGAACUGCCUUCGAUACUGCGGGUCUCGAGUCCGGGAGAGGUGAGUGGAAUUCCUAGUGUAGAGGUGAAAUUCGUAGAUAUUAGGAAGAACACCAGUGGCGAAGGCGGCUCACUGGCCCGGUACUGACGCUGAGGCGCGAAAGCGUGGGGAGCAAACAGG
rnacentral:rRNA from 1 species